GAAAAACAGGCGGCGUAGCAGGUGGGCAGCACGUUGCCAUGAUGUGCCGUGGCCCGGCCGUGGCUGGCGUGAUCCCACCAGAGUGAGCUGGAGCAGAUCUGCACCAUGGGCCAAGUUUCUCAGAAAAUACAUGGCUUCCUGCGGGCUGCAGCCUAAUGCCCACGUUCCUCUCGGGGCAGACCGAAGGUUAUUCAACCAGGGCAAAGGACAGCCUUGCAAACCAACUACGUCCUCCUUCUGGAGUUUGUGUGACCCCUGGCCCCUGAGCCCACACCCUCUCGGAGCGGGGUUCCAACUCCGUGGAAGCUCUGCUGAGAUGCAGGUCCCUCCCUCGACACCUGGGGAUUACAAUUAGAGAUGCGAUUUGGAUGGGGACACCGAGAGAAACCAUGACAGGGGCUCUCCAGAGAAGCAGCCCAGCCUUGGGCAACUUAGUUCUCCCAUCUGACCAUCCAACCCAAUAAGGCUGCUGACUCACAUAGGACCAGGUGCAGUGAAAGCGAAGGAACGCUGCUGGACAUGGUGAGACAUGGAGGACUUUGUAAGGGAUAACCUUUGGUUCCCUGAUUUUUUGACAUGAAUCUAACGCUCUGCACCUUCCUCCUUCUUCUUGACAGUGACAUUCAUAAAGGCCAGAAGCUCGGUGUUUUUGUUUCUGUUGUCUGUAUUCUGUAUUCUGUUCCACUAGUCCAUCUGUCCAUCCUUGUACCAAUACUUCACUGUCUUCACAUUACAGUAACUUUUUAGUCUUGGUUCCUGGUAGGAUAAGUCGGAGGUUUGUUGUUCUUCAAGAUCACCUUGGAUAUUCUAGGUCCUUUACAUUUCCAUAUAACAUUUUAGAAACAGCUUGCCAUUUUUCCACCCACAAAAACCAUGCUGGGAUUUGGUUGAGAUGACUUUGACACCACACAUCAGUUUGGGAAGAACCAACAACUUUAUAAUACUGAGUCUUCCAAUGCAUAUACAUAGUAUAUCCCUCCAUUUAGUUACAUUUUGUUAGACUUAUUUCUAAGUAUUUGAUGCUUUUUGAUGCUAUCAUAAAUUAUAUUGUUUUGGCAAUUUCAUUUUCUAUUUGUAGCUGUUAGGUAUAAAUACAGUUUAUUUUUCUGUGUUCACCUGAUACUCAGUGACCUUGCUAAACUAACUUAUUAAUUCUAAUGGUUUAUACAUUUAAAAAUUUACUGUAUAUUCCAUCAAGUUGUCUGGAAAUAAUAAAAGUUUUAUUUCUUCCUUUCCAAUCUAUGCUUUGGUUUGUUUUUUGAGACCGGUCUCAUACUGUCGCUCAGGCUGGAGUGCAGUGUCAGAUCUCCGCUCACCACAACCUCCACCUCCUGGGCUCAAGCGAUCCUCCUGCCUCAGCCUCCUGAGCAGCGGGGACUCCAGGAGUAUGCCACCAAACCCGGCUAAUUUUCGUAUCUCUUUUGGUACAGACAGGGUUUCACCAUGUUGCCCAGGCUGAUGUUGAACUCCUGGGCUCAAGCAAUCUGCUUGCCUAGGCCUCCCAAAGUGCAAGGAUUACAGGCAUGAGCCGCCACGCCCAGCCAAAAAAAAAAAAUUUUUUUUUUAAAGCUUUUCUCAAGUGGUUUUUGUUGUUGUUGUUGUUUGUUUUAGACAGGGCCUCACUCUGUCACCCAGACUGGAGUGCAGUAGCAUGAUCACAGAUCACCCCAGGCUCAGGUGAUCCUCUUACCUGAGUCUCCCAAGUAGCUUGGACUACAGGGAUGCACCACCACACCUGGCUAAUUUUUGUAUUUUUGGUAAAGAUGAGGUUUCACCAUAUUGCUCAGGCUGUGGAGUUCACGGAACAUUGUAGCCUCAACCUCCAGGGCUCCAGCGAUCCUCCCACCUCAGCUUCCUGAGUAGCUGGGACUACAGGCGCAAACCACCACGCCCAAUUAAAAAAGUUUUUUUUUUGUAGAGAUUGGGGGUGGGUCUUGCUAUGCUGCCCAGGCUGGUGUUUCAUUUUAAAAAAUCCAAUCUGACUUUUAUUUGAGGUAUUAGUCUGUUCUUGCAUUGCUAUAAGGAACUACCUGAGACUGGGUAAUUUAUGAAGAAAAGAGGUUUAAUUGACUCACAGUUCUGCAGGCUGUACAGGAAGUGUGGCUGCGGAAGCCUCAGGAAACUUACAAUCAUGGGGGAAGGCGAAAGGGAAGCAGGGAAAUCUUCCAUGGCAGAGCAGGAGAUAGAGAAGGGAGAAGAGUUACAUGCUUUUAAGCAACCAAGUUUUGUGAGAACUCACUAUCAAGAGGACAGCAAGGGGGAAGUCCGCCCUCAUGAUCCAAUCACCUCCCCCCUGGCCUCUCCUCCAAUAAUGGGGAACACAACUCGACAUGAGAUUUGGGUGGAGAUACAGAGCCAAACCAUAUAAAGGCGUUUAGACCAUUUACAGUACAGUUGUUGACAUGGUUUGGUCUAUGUCUUUCUGAUGGAUUGACUCCUUUAUAUUAUUAAGUAUACAUCUUUAAUAAUGUUUUCUGGUCUUAAAGUCUACUUUGUCUGAUAUAGUAUAGCUACAUAAACUGAUAUCUUUAUUUUUAUUUAUUUAUUUUUAUUCAAACAGAGUUUCACUCUGUCUCCCAGGCUGGAGUGCAGUGGCAUGAUCUCGGCUCACUGCAACUUCCGCCUCCUGGGUUCAAGCGACUCUACUGCCUCAGCCUCCUGAGUAGCUGGG
rnacentral:lncRNA from 1 species